rnacentral:rRNA from 1 species
GACGAACGAUGGCGGCGUGAUUAACACAUGCAAGUCGAACGGUAAGGCCCUUCGGGGUACACGAGUGGCGAACGGGUGAGUAACACGUGGGUGAUCUGGCCUGCACUUCGGGAUAAGCCUGGGAAACUGGGUCUAAUACCGGAUAGGACUCCUGACUUCAUAGUUGGGGGUAGAAAGCUUUUGCGGUGGGGGAUGGGCCCGCGUCCUAUCAGCUUGUUGGUGGGGUAAUGGCCAACCAACGCGACGAAGGGUAGCCGGCCUGAGAGGGUUACCGGUAACGCUGGGACUGAUAUACGCGCCAGACUCCUAGUGGAGGCCGCCGUGGAUGAUAUUCCACAAUGGGCGGAAGCCUGAUGCAGCGACACCGCGGGAGUGAUGACGGCAUUAGGGUUCUAAACAUUUUUCAGCUAUAACGAAGCGCAAGUGACGGUAAUAGCAGAAGAAGGACCGGCCAACUACGUGCCAGCAGCAGCCGCCG